UACCAGCACCCCGAGUGGUCGGGACGAUUAUUGGGCCUAAAGCAUCCGUAGCCGGUCUUGCAAGUCUUCCGUUAAAUCCAGCUGCUUAACAGAUGGGCUGCGGAAGAUACUACAAGACUAGGAGGCGGGAGAGGCAAGCGGUACUCAGUGGGUAGGGGUAAAAUCCGUUGAUCCAUUGAAGACCACCAGUGGCGAAGGCGGCUUGCCAGAACGCACUCGACGGUGAGGGAUGAAAGCUGGGGGAGCAAACCGG
rnacentral:rRNA from 1 species